UACGGAGGGUGCGAGCGUUGUCCGGAAUCACUGGGCGUAAAGGGCGCGUAGGUGGCGCAGGAAGUCAACGGUGAAAGUUCGGGGCUCAACCCUGAAUCGGCCGUCGAUACUCCUGGGCUCGAGCACUGUAGAGGCAGAUGGAAUUCCGGGGUGGUAGCGGUGGAAUGCGUAGAGAUCCGGAAGAACACCGGUGGCGAAGGCGGAUCGUGCGUGGGCGCGA
rnacentral:rRNA from 1 species